CCUACGGGAGGCAGCAGUAAGGAAUAUUGGUCAAUGGACGCAAGUCUGAACCAGCCAUGCCGCGUGAAGGAUUAAGGUCCUCUGGAUUGUAAACUUCUUUUAUCUGGGACGAAAAAAGGCGAUUCUUCGUCACUUGACGGUACCAGAUGAAUAAGCACCGGCUAACUCCGUGCCAGCAGCCGCGGUAAUACGGAGGGUGCAAGCGUUAUCCGGAUUCACUGGGUUUAAAGGGUGCGUAGGCGGGCAGGUAAGUCAGUGGUGAAAUCCUGGAGCUUAACUCUAGAACUGCCAUUGAUACUAUCUGUCUUGAAUAUUGUGGAGGUAAGCGGAAUAUGUCAUGUAGCGGUGAAAUGCUUAGAUAUGACAUAGAACACCUAUUGCGAAGGCAGCUUACUACGCAUAUAUUGACGCUGAGGCACGAAAGCGUGGGGAUCAAACAGGAUUAGAUACCCUGGUAGUCCACGCCCUAAACGAUGAUUACUCGACAUUUGUGAUACACUAUAAGUGUCUGAGCGAAAGCAUUAAGUAAUCCACCUGGGAAGUACGACCGCAAGGUUGAAACUUAAAUGAAUUGACGG
rnacentral:rRNA from 1 species